CCAAAUUCCAAGUCUCUACCACUUCUGUUCUUGCUUACCUGCUUCUUCCCCUUCCCUAAUGUGGUUGUGAAUAUCUAACAGGUAUCAGGAAAAGAAAGCUAGCCUUGAGGCCAGAGAUUCACAGCCCAGUUCCCUUUCCUCCAUUCUACAAAUAAAUUCCUUGGUGUCUCAAGUAACCGAGAAAGCUUGUGCUCAGGAGUUA
rnacentral:lncRNA from 1 species